UACGUAGGGCGCAAGCGUUGUCCGGAAUUAUUGGGCGUAAAGAGCUCGUAGGCGGUGUGUCGCGUCGGAUGUGAAAAUCCGGGGCUCAACCCCGGACUUGCAGUGGGUACGGGCAGACUAGAGUGUGGUAGGGGAGACUGGAAUUCCUGGUGUAGCGGUGGAAUGCGCAGAUAUCAGGAGGAACACCGAUGGCGAAGGCAGGUCUCUGGGCCACUACUGACGCUGAGAAGCGAAAGCAUGGGGAGCGAACAGG
rnacentral:rRNA from 1 species